AGAAACUUGGAAACUACCGUUGGAUUGAGAAAUGGACGUCUGAGAUUCAUCCACGUCAUCGUGAGUUAAAAUUUAACUCCCAGUAAAAUUUUAACUCAUGAGUGAAUCCGCGAGUUAAAUUUUAACUCAAGGUGACGUGGAAGAAUUUCAGACGUCCAUUUCUCGAUCCAACUGUAGUUUCCAAGUUUCC
rnacentral:pre_miRNA from 2 species